GGCAUCGGCAGCUACACAUGCAAGUCGAGGGGUAACAGGGAGUGCUUGCACUCUGCUGACGACCGGCGCACGGGUGCGUAACGCGUAUGCAAUCUACCUCUUACUGAGGGAUAGCCCAUGGAAACGUGGAUUAAUACCUCAUAGUAUUAUAGACUGGCCUCAGUUUAUGAUUAAAGGUUACGGUAAGAGAUGAGCAUGCGUCCUAUUAGCUAGAUGGUAAGGUAACGGCUUACCAUGGCUACGAUAGGUAGGGGUCCUGAGAGGGAGAUCCCCCACACUGGUACUGAGACACGGACCAGACUCCUACGGGAGGCAGCAGUGAGGAAUAUUGGACAAUGGGCGAGAGCCUGAUCCAGCCAUGCCGCGUGCAGGAAGACGGCCCUAUGGGUUGUAAACUGCUUUUACAGAGGAAGAACCCUCCUUACGUGUAAGGAGCUGACGGUACUCUAUGAAUAAGGAUCGGCUAACUCCGUGCCAGCAGCCGCGGUAAUACGGAGGAUCCAAGCGUUAUCCGGAAUCAUUGGGUUUAAAGGGUCCGUAGGCGGGUCUAUAAGUCAGUGGUGAAAGUCUGCAGCUUAACUGUAGAACUGCCAUUGAUACUGUAGACCUUGAAUUAGUAUGAAGUGGUUAGAAUGUGUAGUGUAGCGGUGAAAUGCAUAGAUAUUACACAGAAUACCGAUUGCGAAGGCAGAUCACUAAUACUAUAUUGACGCUGAUGGACGAAAGCGUAGGUAGCGAACAGGAUUAGAUACCCUGGUAGUCUACGCCGUAAACGAUGGUUACUAGCUGUCCGGCCUAAUUGAGGGCUGGGUGGUUAAGCGAAAGUGAUAAGUAACCCACCUGGGGAGUACGUUCGCAAGAAUGAAACUCAAAGGAAUUGACGGGGGCCCGCACAAGCGGUGGAGCAUGUGGGUUUAAUUCGAUGAUACGCGAGGAACCUUUACCAGGCUUAAUGCAGUCUGACGUAUCUGGAAACAGAUAUUUUCUUUCGGGACAGAU
rnacentral:rRNA from 1 species